rnacentral:rRNA from 1 species
AUGGGUUGUGGGGCGUCGAAAUGGAGGGGUCCCGGUGUUGUGCGCCGGGGGAGGCCAAGAAGUGUCGGGGAGGUGGUCGUCUUCCUCCCGGGGCUCCGGGUACCUAGGACCGUAGACUUCUCGCAGUCUCUCGGUGAUCACCUCGACAAGAGCACGGUGGAGAGGCUGUCUUCUCUAAGAGCAACGGUCAUGACAAUGGCAAUGCAGGAAUCGGCCAUGGCCCUGAAGCCGAGGCGAAGGGCGACGCGGCACGGAGGGUCUGGCACUGCUAAUCUUCUCCAGGCUUUGGAAGACUACCUGCCAGUUCUGCUAGGACUGGUGAAAGAAAAACUGGCAGUUUGUUUGAGAAACAAAGUGCAGUUUGUUUGGGCUAACCAAGAGGACGAUGCUGAGGAGACAUCCAUGGCUGAUGCUUGGUAUGAGGUGCUGUCUGUGCUGCACCUCAUGGCCAUGGUGUGCUUCCUGCAGGCCAACUCCCUGCUUCUGCCGAGGUCAUACGGCGAGGGCCAUGGGCCAAGGGUCUCUGAAGAGAGCAGGCGAGCCACUGUUGAUGUUUUCUUGAAAGCCGGUGGGUACUUGGAUUGUGCAAUUAAUCAAGUACUUCCGCAGAUACCGCCUGAAAAAAGAAGGGCACUCCCGGUAGAUCUAGUUGAGGGAAAUCUAAAAGCUCUUAGCUUGCAAGGACUUGGCCAGGGAGUUGAUAUGCAACUUGGAUUGGCAAUUGAUAAUCCAAAGGCCACUUUAGCAGUCAAACGGCGUUUAGCUUGCGAGAUGGUCAAAUAUUGGCAGCAGAUUAAGGAUAGCAUACCAGAGCUUCCUUUGUCGGAUGGAUGGGCGAAAAAGCACACACUAUUUGUUAAGUGGAAGUAUGCUGAAGCAAAGGCUGCUGCAUACUACUUCCAUGGGUUGAUUCUUGAUGAGGGAAACACCGAGAAAUCACAGGAGAUGGCAACAUCAUCCCUACAAGCGUCAGAGGAGUUUCUGAAAGAGAGCAAAAGAGCCUCUGAGGUCUUCCAUUCGACUCCUCCGACAUCAAGGAUCUCAACUCCUUUCGGAACAACCAAACAUCUCUUGGAUAUGAUCCCAAAAGAGACAUUAAGCAAGCUACAGAAUAACCAGGACCUUAACACCCAAGAAAGAACAUCGAAUACCGGAGUCAGCCGGAUCAUCACACCGCCGCCUCCAUUGCCAGAUUUCCCUUUGGCCCUAAAUCCUGAGGAAUAUGAGCUUCCCCAAUUAGGCCCGCUGUUGAAGAAGGAAGCUAACCACUAA